UGAGGAAUUUUCUGCAAUGGGCGAAAGCCUGACAGAGCAAUACCGCGUGAGGGAUGAAGGCCUAUGGGUUGUAAACCUCUUUUCUCAAGGAGGAAGAUAUGACGUUACUUGAGGAAUAAGCAUCGGCUAACCCUGUGCCAGCAGCCGCGGUAAUACAGGGGAUGCAAGUGUUAUCCGGAAUCAUUGGGCGUAAAGCGUCUGCAGGUGGACUUUUAAGUCUUUUGUUAAACCUCUAGGCUUAACCUAGAAUCUGCAAAAGAAACUAUUUGUCUUGAGUAUGGUAGGGGUAAAGGGAAUUUCCAGUGGAAUGGUGAAAUAUUUUGAUAUUGGAAAGAACACCAACAGCGAAGGCACUUUACUGGGCCAGUACUGACACUGAGAGACGAAAGCUAGGGGAGCAAACGGGAUUAGAUACCCCGGUAGUCCUAGCUGUAAACGAUGGAUACUAGAUGUUGCGUUUUUUUAAGAAUGCAGUGUCGUAGCUAACGCGUUAAGUAUCCCGCCUGGGAAGUAUGCUCGCAAGAGUG
rnacentral:rRNA from 1 species